rnacentral:lncRNA from 10 species
CUCUACAUGAUAUCCAUGGUUAAAAUCUAUGGUUUCAAUCAAGUUAUUUUGCUCUCGCUGUGAUAUGCUAUUUAUUAAAAACAAUUAAGUACCAAAGUUGUGUAAUUCAAUGUAUUUGUAACAUUUUAUAUACCAAGGUUUCCAUGUUUUAUGACAUGUAAUGCCAACAUUCAUGCUUUGAAAACCACUUUAUAAUUUUUUUCAAAUUUUCACAAAUGUCUUCCUUUGAAAAUCAGAACUAAAUAAUAAUAAUAAUCACUUCAGUAGCUGACCUUACAAGUUGAACCUGCAAAAUUAGUUUUUUCCCCUUGAGUAGUUUAUAAGUGAUAUUCUCCAACCGAGUGAUAAAUGAUAGUAUUUGAAAUCUCUUUUGCCAACUUUCUUUUUGAAAUCACUUAGAAGUGGGAUUUUGGAAACAUGAAUAGGUGAUGUGGUUGAAUAUAAUGUUUACCGUUGUGCCAUAUAAGUUUCUUAAAAAUGUGCUCAGUAAUUUUUACAGAAAUGGCUCAAAAUGCAUAUAGAGGACUCACUGACUGUGAGCCUUUCAAGCUUCUGAAAAUCUUCAUGAUAAUUUUUAUAAUUAUGUCAGUUUCAUUUUCACAGCUUUGCAGUGAAGUUCUUCAGUGAGGUUCACCAGUGCUUUUUGUUUUUGUAAUGUGUGUUUUAAACUACAGUCAUGCGUCACUUAAUAAUGGGGAUACAUUCUGAGAAACAUAUCUUAACUGAUUUUUGUUGUUGCGUGAACACCAUAGAGUGUACUUCAUAGAGCAAACAUUAUAGAGUAUAAAAAUAUAGAGGUUAUAGCUUACUGCAAUCCUGGGUUUUACAGUAUAGCUUACUGAACAUCUAGUCUGUAUGGUAUAGCCUAUUGCUCCUAGGCUGUAAACCUGUAGAGCAUAUUACUAUACUGAAUAUUGCAGGCAAUUGGAACACGAUGGUAAGUGUUUGUAUAUUUCAACAUAUCUAAACAUGGAAAAGGUACAGAAAAAUAUGAUAUAAAAGAUUAGAAAUGGUACAUCUCUGUAGGGCCCUUACCAUGAAUGGAUCUUGCAGAGUUGGAAGUUGUUCUGCGUGAGUCAGUAAGUGUGUGGUGAGUGAAUGCAAAGAACUAGGACAUUACUGUAAACUACUAUGGACUUUAUAAACACUGUAAACUUAAGCCUACAUUUAUAAAACAUAUUUUUCUUUCAUCAAUAAUAAGUUAAUCUUAAUUGACUCUAUCUUUUAUACUUUACAAACUUUUUAUUAUUUUCUUAUUGAUUCUGUUGUAAUAACAUUCAGCUUAAAACACAGACACAUUGUACAGCUGUACAAAAAUAUUUCCUGUUUGUAUAUUCUUAUUCUAUAUGCUUUUGUUCUAUUUUUAAUGCUUUCUUAAAAUUUUCAAUUUUUUUUGCUAAAAAUGAAGAUUCACUGUGCCCGGCCUAUGCUAUACUUUUACAUGAGUGGCAGCAUAGUAGCUAUUUUUAUAUCAGCAUCAACACAAAACAUGUGAGUAAUGUCUUAUGCAAGACAUUUUGACAGCUAUGAUGUUAUGACAGCUAUGACAUUAUGACAGCCAUGACAUCCCUAGGCGAUAGGAAAAUUUUGGCUUCGUUAUAAUCUUUUGAGACCACCUGUGUUUAUUCAGUCCACCAUUGAUUGAAACAUCAUUAUUCAGUGCAUGACUAUGGUGUAUUAACUUCUUAUUCUCUUUCAUUUCUUAUCCUGGUUUUGACUUUUAUUUUGGAAAUUCUCAUAAUUACCAUCAUUUCUUAUAUCCUUCUAACUCUUAAUGUUUUGCUCUUGCAGUUAAAACUCCCUACUUUCCCUCAUCACUUUUCGCUUUUAAGCUUUAAUUUGUUACUUUUCCCAACUGAAAAUUUUCUAUCAUCUUCUUUGCUAAUCUAUGUCUUUGUUUUCUUUGAGACUCUUUUAUUCACCCUUUCUGAUGAUGGUAAUUUUAUUCAUUUUCACAAAAUUCAUUGCAGGCUCAAUGUGUGCUAGGAACUGGGCUAGGUGCCAGGAACUUGAUGACUACUUUUAAAGUGUCUUUGGCAUAACAGAGUGUCAGGAGAGAAAUACACACACACACA